CCUACGGGGAGGCAGCAGUAGGGAAUCUUCCACAAUGGACGAAAGUCUGAUGGAGCAACGCCGCGUGAACGAUGAAGGCCUUCGGGUCGUAAAGUUCUGUUGUAAGGGAAGAACAAGUGCCGCAGGCAAUGGCGGCACCUUGACGGUACCUUGCGAGAAAGCCACGGCUAACUACGUGCCAGCAGCCGCGGUAAUACGUAGGUGGCAAGCGUUGUCCGGAAUUAUUGGGCGUAAAGCGCGCGCAGGCGGCCUCUUAAGUCUGAUGUGAAAGCCCCCGGCUCAACCGGGGAGGGCCAUUGGAAACUGGGAGGCUUGAGUAUAGGAGAGAAGAGUGGAAUUCCACGUGUAGCGGUGAAAUGCGUAGAGAUGUGGAGGAACACCAGUGGCGAAGGCGACUCUUUGGCCUAUAACUGACGCUGAGGCGCGAAAGCGUGGGGAGCAAACAGGAUUAGAUACCCUGGUAGUCCACGCCGUAAACGAUGAGUGCUAGGUGUUGGAGGGUUUCCGCCCUUCAGUGCUGAAGCUAACGCAUAAGCACUCCGCCUGGGAGAAC
rnacentral:rRNA from 1 species